rnacentral:rRNA from 1 species
AUUGAACGCUGGCGGCAGGCCUAACACAUGCAAGUCGAGCGGAUGAAGGGAGCUUGCUCCUGGAUUCAGCGGCGGACGGGUGAGUAAUGCCUAGGAAUCUGCCUGGUAGUGGGGGAUAACGUCCGGAAACGGGCGCUAAUACCGCAUACGUCCUGAGGGAGAAAGUGGGGGAUCUUCGGACCUCACGCUAUCAGAUGAGCCUAGGUCGGAUUAGGUAGUUGGUGGGGUAAAGGCCUACCGAGGCGACGAUCCGUAACUGGUCUGAGAGGAUGAUCAGUCACACUGGAACUGAGACACGGUCCAGACUCCUACGGGAGGCAGCAGUGGGGAAUAUUGGACAAUGGGCGAAAGCCUGAUCCAGCCAUGCCGCGUGUGUGAAGAAGGUCUUCGGAUUGUAAAUCACUUUAAGUUGGGAGGAAGGGCAGUAAGUUAAUACCUUGCUGUUUUGACGUUACCAACAGAAUAAGCACCGGCUAACUUCGUG